GAUGAAGAACGUAGUGAAAUGCGAUAAGUAGUGUGAAUUGCAGAAUUCAGUGAAUCAUCGAAUCUUUGAACGCACAUUGCGCCCCUUGGUAUUCCAUGGGGCAUGCCUGUUCGAGCGUCAUUUGUACCCUCAAGCUCUGCUUGGUGUUGGGUGUUUGUCCACUCCCUGGUGUCUGGACUCGCCUUAAAGCAAUUGGCAGCCAGUGUUUUGGUAUUGAAGCGCAGCACAUUUUGCGUCUCCAGCCUAGAACGCUUGCGUCCAGUAAGCCUUUUUCCACUUUUGACCUCGGAUCAGGUAGGGAUACCCGCUGAACUUAAGCAUAUCAAUAAGCGGAGGA
rnacentral:misc_RNA from 1 species